CCCUUAGAUGUCCUGGGCCGCACGCGCGUUACACUGAUGCAUUCAACGAGCUUAUAACCUUGGCCGAGAGGCCUGGGCAAUCUUGUUAACGUGCAUCGUGAUAGGGAUAGAUUAUUGAAAUUAUUAAUCUUGAACGAGGAAUUCCUAGUAAACGCAGAUCAUCAAUCUGCAUUGAUUACGUCCCUGCCCUUUGUACACACCGCCCGUCGCACCUACCGAUUGGAUGGUCCGGUGAAGCCUCGGGAUUGUGGUUCUUGUCGCUUUGUUGUGGCGUGACCGCGAGAACUUGUCUAAACCUUAUCAUCUAGAGGAAGGUGAAGUCGUAACA
rnacentral:rRNA from 1 species